rnacentral:rRNA from 1 species
UGGGGAAUAUUGGGCAAUGGACGCAAGUCUGACCCAGCAACGCCGCGUGAAGGAAGAAGGCUUUCGGGUUGUAAACUUCUUUUAAGGGGGGAAGAGCAGAAGACGGUACCCCUUGAAUAAGCCACGGCUAACUACGUGCCAGCAGCCGCGGUAAUACGUAGGUGGCAAGCGUUGUCCGGAUUUACUGGGUGUAAAGGGCGUGCAGCCGGGCUGACAAGUCAGAUGUGAAAUUCCAGGGCUUAACCCUGGAACUGCAUUUGAAACUAUUGGUCUUGAGUACCGGAGAGGUUAUCGGAAUUCCUUGUGUAGCGGUGAAAUGCGUAGAUAUAAGGAAGAACACCAGUGGCGAAGGCGGAUAACUGGACGGCAACUGACGGUGAGGCGCGAAAAGCGUGGGGAGCAAACAGGAUUAGAUACC